GAUGAACGCUGGCGGCGUGCCUAAUACAUGCAAGUCGAGCGAACGGACGAGAAGCUUGCUUCUCUGAUGUUAGCGGCGGACGGGUGAGUAACACGUGGAUAACCCACCUAUAAGACUGGGAUAACUUCGGGAAACCGGAGCUAAUACCGGAUAAUAUUUUGAACCGCAUGGUUCAAAAGUAAAAGACGGUCUUGCUGUCACUUAUAGAUGGAUCCGCGCUGCAUUAGCUAGUUGGUAAGGUAACGGCUUACCAAGGCAACGAUGCAUAGCCGACCUGAGAGGGUGAUCGGCCACACUGGAACUGAGACACGGUCCAGACUCCUACGGGAGGCAGCAGUGGGGAAUCUUCCGCAAUGGGCGAAAGCCUGACGGAGCAACGCCGCGUGGGUGAUGAAGGUCUUCGGAUCGUAAAACUCUGUUAUUAGGGAAAAACAUAUGUGUAAGUAACUGUGCACAUCUUGACGGUACCUAAUCAGAAAGCCACGGCUAACUACGUG
rnacentral:rRNA from 1 species